rnacentral:rRNA from 1 species
UGACACGUAGGCACCAAGCGUUGUCCGGAUUUAUUGGGCGUAAAGAGCUCGUAGGCGGUUCAGUUAGUCGGGUGUGAAAACUCUGGGCUCAACCCAGAGAGGCCACCCGAUACUGCUGAACUUGAGUACGGUAGGGGAGCGGGGAAUUCCUGGUGUAGCGGUGAAAUGCGCAGAUAUCAGGAGGAACACCGGUGGCGAAGGCGCCGCUCUGGGCCGAAACUGACGCUGAGGAGCGAAAGCGUGGGUAGCAAACAGGAUUAGAUACCCUGGUAGUCCACGCCGUAAACGUUGGGCACUAGGUGUGGGCUCUAACCAACGGAGUCCGUGCCGUCGCUAACGCAUUAAGUGCCCCGCCUGGGGAGUACGGCCGCAAGGUUA